rnacentral:rRNA from 1 species
CCUACGGGAGGCUGCAGUGGGGAAUAUUGGACAAUGGGGGGAACCCUGAUCCAGCCAUGCCGCGUGUGUGAAGAAGGCCCUCGGGUUGUAAAGCACUUUCAGUGAGGAAGAACGCCUGGUGGUUAAUACCCAUCAGGAAAGACAUCACUCACAGAAGAAGCACCGGCUAACUCCGUGCCAGUAGCCGCGGUAAUACGGAGGGUGCGAGCGUUAAUCGGAAUUACUGGGCGUAAAGCGCGCGUAGGUGGCUUGAUAAGCCGGUUGUGAAAGCCCCGGGCUCAACCUGGGAACGGCAUCCGGAACUGUCAAGCUAGAGUGCAGGAGAGGAAGGUAGAAUUCCCGGUGUAGCGGUGAAAUGCGUAGAGAUCGGGAGGAAUACCAGUGGCGAAGGCGGCCUUCUGGACUGACACUGACACUGAGGUGCGAAAGCGUGGGUAGCAAACAGGAUUAGAUACCCCAGUAGUC